rnacentral:rRNA from 1 species
AGUGAACGCUGGCGGCAGGCCUAACACAUGCAAGUCGAGCGGCAGCGCGGGGGCAACCCUGGCGGCGAGCGGCGGACGGGUGAGGAAUUCGUCGGAAUCUGCCUUUUUGUGGGGGAUAACGUAGGGAAACUUACGCUAAUACCGCAUACGUCCUACGGGAGAAAGUGGGGGACCGCAAGGCCUCACGCAGAAAGAUGAGCCGACGACCGAUUAGCUAGUUGGUGGGGUAAAGGCCCACCAAGGCGACGAUCGGUAGCUGGUCUGAGAGGAUGAUCAGCCACACUGGGACUGAGACACGGCCCAGACUCCUACGGGAGGCAGCAGUGGGGAAUAUUGGACAAUGGGCGCAAGCCUGAUCCAGCCAUGCCGCGUGUGUUAAGAAGGCCUUCGGGUUGUAAAGCACUUUUGUCCGGAAAGAAAUCCCUGGAGCUAAUACCUUCGGGGGAUGACGGUACCGGAAGAAUAAGCACCGGCUAACUUCGUG